AAUAAGGAACGGUCAAGUCGUCGAGAAGAACAGAUUCCAAACUCGCAAGCGACGUAACUACGCAAUUGGUGGUAUAUAGUAGUACCAACCAACUGUUCAUCGCAGUUCUUUGCACGGAAGCGAAAUGGAUGAUUGGGCGCUGAGAUACUUGGACUUCCACGCAAAAGAUUCCCCAAAAGCGCCAACUUUCUCGGAGGAGAUUCAUUGGCUCACUUGGUUGGUGGCAACCGCGGGGUUCCUUUCAUCUCAGAGCCAAGUGGAGACGGAAUCCAACGGGCCACACCUCGUUUAUUAUUCAUAUUGGCUGUAGCAAGACAAGCAUCGAGCCCCACAUCGUCAAGUCGGAAAUUUAGUUCGGAGUACAAUACAAGUUUAUAUACCUAUAAUUAUAAAACGUGUUGAGUUGUUUAGUUUCAUGACAGACAGCAUAUGGAAACCAACCCGUAUUUAAAUGAUUAGAGGGACAAUAUCAUUC
rnacentral:lncRNA from 1 species